rnacentral:rRNA from 1 species
GACGAACGCUGGCGGCGUGCUUAACACAUGCAAGUCGAACGGUGAAGCGCCUUCCUUUUUGGUGGGUGUGGAUGAGUGGCGAACGGGUGAGUAACACGUGAGUAACCUGCCCCCUUCUUCUGGAUAACCGCAUGAAAGUGUGGCUAAUACGGGAUAUUCUGGGUCUGUCGCAUGAUGGGUCUGGGAAAGAUAUUGUUUCGGUGGGGGGUGGGCUCGCGGCCUAUCAGCUUGUUGGUGGGGUGAUGGCCUACCAAGGCGGUGACGGGUAGCCGGCCUGAGAGGGUGGACGGUCACACUGGGACUGAGACACGGCCCAGACUCCUACGGGAGGCAGCAGUGGGGAAUAUUGCACAAUGGGCGCAAGCCUGAUGCAGCGACGCCGCGUGAGGGAUGGAGGCCGUCGGGUUGUGAACCUCUUUCGCCAGUGAAGCAGGCCUGCCUCGUUUGUGGGUGGGUUGACGGUAGCUGGAUAAGAAGCGCCGGCUAACUACGUG